UACGUAGGGGGCGAGCGUUGUCCGGAAUUACUGGGCGUAAAGGGUGCGUAGGCGGGCUGUUAAGUCUGAUGUGAAAACCUUAGGCUCAACCUAAGGCAUGCAUUGGAAACUAGCAGUCUAGAGUGCAGGAGAGGGAAGCGGAAUUCCCGGUGUAGCGGUGGAAUGCGUAGAUAUCGGGAGGAACACCAGUGGCGAAGGCGGCUUCCUGGACUGUAACUGACGCUGAGGCACGAAAGCUGGGGUAGCAAACAGGAUUAGAUACCCUGGUAGUCCCAGCUGUAAACGAUGGAUACUAGGUGUUGGCGGUUCAGACCGUCAGUGCCGAAGCUAACGUGAUAAGUAUCCCGCCUGGGGAGUACGGUCGCAAGACUGAA
rnacentral:rRNA from 1 species